AACGAACGCUGGCGGCAUGCCUAACACAUGCAAGUCGAACGAGACCUUCGGGUCUAGUGGCGCACGGGUGCGUAACGCGUGGGAACCUGCCCUUAGGUUCGGAAUAACUCCCCGAAAGGGGUGCUAAUACCGGAUAAUGUCUUCGGACCAAAGAUUUAUCGCCUUUGGAUGGGCCCGCGUUGGAUUAGCUAGUUGGUAGGGUAAAAGCCUACCAAGGCGACGAUCCAUAGCUGGUCUGAGAGGAUGAUCAGCCACACUGGGACUGAGACACGGCCCAGACACCGGCGGGAGGCGGAGGGUGACAAACAGCUACAGGGGGGGAAAGGGGGAUCCAGAACUGGCGUGUGGGUGAGGGACUUGUGAGGGUUAAAACGUUUUACGAAGCGGGAUGAUAACGUAAGUAGGGGGAGAAUAACCUCCGGAUACCUCCGUGGCAGCCGCGGCGCGAAAGAAAGCGCCCCGGUCGAAA
rnacentral:rRNA from 1 species